CCAGCCGUAUAUUUUGUUGGACUUUAAUGGUAUGUAAAUUCGUCGUCAUCGUCGAAAUCCAUUUCACGGCAUUUUCUGUUUUCACCUACUUGAAUAAUAUAAUAAUAAAAUAUUAUAAUUUUAAAAUUGUACAAGAAAAGCACGAGCUUGUAAUGUUUUGGGUUACUAAGGAAAAUUGUUUAUAAAGAGUUCAACUGGGGGAUGACAGAAUAAGGUUUCUAACGACUAAAAACUCCGUUGUCAAAAAAAAAAACAACUAAA
rnacentral:lncRNA from 1 species